GGGGGCGUAAAGGUUUCGACGGGGAUUUUGAGGCAUAGUAAGCGGGUAGAGCCGAGUAAGCUCUUAAAACUGCUCAACUUAAAAAUAAACGCUAACGAUAAUUUAGCAUACGCAGCCUAAGGCUGUGACGCAGUCCUGAGGGACUGCCCGUUCCGCCCGGGAGCACCGCGACCCGGGAUGGGGCGUCAUUCAGCGGUGAACGUGCAUUGCCCUUUUGCUUUUGAGGCAGUCAUGAAUAAAAAAGCUACCCGAGACGGCAGAGUGACGGCUCUCGGCCGCCGCGGGGAAAUCUAAAUAACCGUCUGCACCCGGAGAAAGCUAUGUCAAAGGAUUUUCGGACAGGGGUUCGAUUCCCCUCGCCUCCACCA
rnacentral:tmRNA from 1 species